UGGGGAAUUUUGGACAAUGGGCGAAAGCCUGAUCCAGCAAUGCCGCGUGUGUGAAGAAGGCCUUCGGGUUGUAAAGCACUUUUGUCCGGAAAGAAAUCCUCUGGGUUAAUACCUCGGGGGGAUGACGGUACCGGAAGAAUAAGCACCGGCUAACUACGUGCCAGCAGCCGCGGUAAUACGUAGGGUGCAAGCGUUAAUCGGAAUUACUGGGCGUAAAGCGUGCGCAGGCGGUUUUGUAAGACGGAUGUGAAAUCCCCGGGCUUAACCUGGGAACUGCAUUCGUGACUGCAAGGCUAGAGUAUGGCAGAGGGGGGUAGAAUUCCACGUGUAGCAGUGAAAUGCGUAGAGAUGUGGAGGAAUACCGAUGGCGAAGGCAGCCCCCUGGGCCAAAUACUGACGCUCAUGCACGAAAGCGUGGGGAGCAAACAGGAUUAGAUACCCUGGUAGUCCACGCCCUAAAACGAUGUCAACUAGUUGUUGGGGAUUCAUUUCCUUAGUAACGUAGCUAACGCGUGAAGUUGACCGCCUGGGGAGUACGGUCGCAAGAUUAAAACUCAAAUGAA
rnacentral:rRNA from 1 species